GGCGGACGGGUGAGGAAUACAUCGGAAUCUACUCUGUCGUGGGGGAUAACGUAGGGAAACUUACGCUAAUACCGCAUACGACCUACGGGUGAAAGCAGGGGAUCUUCGGACCUUGCGCGAUUGAAUGAGCCGAUGUCGGAUUAGCUAGUUGGCGGGGUAAAGGCCCACCAAGGCGACGAUCCGUAGCUGGUCUGAGAGGAUGAUCAGCACACUGGAACUGAGACACGGUCCAGACUCCUACGGGAGGCAGCAGU
rnacentral:rRNA from 1 species